rnacentral:rRNA from 1 species
CACGUAGGGGGCAAGCGUUGUCCGGAUUCACUGGGCGUAAAGAGCUCGUAGGCGGUUUGUCGCGUCUGCUGUGAAAACCCGAGGCUCAACCUCGGGCCUGCAGUGGGUACGGGCAGACUAGAGUGCGGUAGGGGAGAUUGGAAUUCCUGGUGUAGCGGUGGAAUGCGCAGAUAUCAGGAGGAACACCGAUGGCGAAGGCAGAUCUCUGGGCCGUAACUGACGCUGAGGAGCGAAAGCAUGGGUAGCGAACAGG